rnacentral:rRNA from 1 species
UACGGGAGGCAGCAGUGGGGAAUAUUGCACAAUGGGCGCAAGCCUGAUGCAGCCAUGCCGCGUGUAUGAAGAAGGCCUUCGGGUUGUAAAGUACUUUCAGUCGUGAGGAAGGUGUUAAGGUUAAUAACCUUAGCAAUUGACGUUAGCGACAGAAGAAGCACCGGCUAACUCCGUGCCAGCAGCCGCGGUAAUACGGAGGGUGCGAGCGUUAAUCGGAAUUACUGGGCGUAAAGGGCACGCAGGCGGUUAAUUAAGUUGGAUGUGAAAUCCCCGGGCUUAACCUGGGAAUGGCAUUCAAGACUGGUUAGCUAGAGUCUUGUAGAGGGGGUAGAAUUCCAUGUGUAGCGGUGAAAUGCGUAGAGAUGUGGAGGAAAUACCGGUGGCGAAAGGCGGCCCCUGGGACAAAGACUGACGCUCAUGUGCGAAAAGCGUGGGGAGCAAACAGGGAUUAGAUACC